UUAUAUUAUCACAGCAAGUUUUACAUCACACGGAAACAGAUCUACAAGCAAAGAAAAUACAUUACAACACACCUCAUCGUAAUACUUCUCUCUCUCCUUCACACACACCACACACAGAGCAUAAGCUCUAGAGCAUAUAUAUAUAUAUGCUCUAGAGCUUAUGCUCUGUGUGUGGUGUGUGUGAAGGAGAGAGAGAAGUAUUACGAUGAGGUGUGUUGUAAUGUAUUUUCUUUGCUUGUAGAUCUGUUUCCGUGUGAUGUAAAACUUGCUGUGAUAAUAUAAAUAGUUUGUUGUUGUUGGAAGAAAAAAAAAAAAAAAAAAAAAA
rnacentral:misc_RNA from 1 species